GUACACUCCUGCGGGAGGCAGCAGUGGGGAAUUUUGGACAAUGGGCGAAAGCCUGAUCCAGCAAUGCCGCGUGAGUGAAGAAGGCCUUCGGGUUGUAAAGCUCUUUUGUCAGGGAAGAAACGGUGAAAGCUAAUAUCUUUUGCUAAUGACGGUACCUGAAGAAUAAGCACCGGCUAACUACGUGCCAGCAGCCGCGGUAAUACGUAGGGUGCAAGCGUUAAUCGGAAUUACUGGGCGUAAAGCGUGCGCAGGCGGUUUUGUAAGUCUGAUGUGAAAUCCCCGGGCUCAACCUGGGAAUUGCAUUGGAGACUGGAAGGCUAGAAUCUGGCAGAGGGGGGUAGAAUUCCACGUGUAGCAGUGAAAUGCGUAGAUAUGUGGAGGAACACCGAUGGCGAAGGCAGCCCCCUGGGUCAAGAUUGACGCUCAUGCACGAAAGCGUGGGGAGCAAACAGGAUUAGAAACCCCUGUAGUCCCAUGA
rnacentral:rRNA from 1 species